GUGAUUAAAUCGAGCGUGUCUUCAUUGACCGCUCACACCUUCUCACCAUCCACAUACACCUGUGCACUGUUUAGCCUGAGCCGGUUUUCCGGUCCAGGUUAUCAUUUCAUUACAGAACUCUAGUCUAUGAAUGUAACGUUUUAAUAACAUAAUAA
rnacentral:misc_RNA from 1 species